AAUCCAUGAUGAGGGCAUUGAGCUUGGUAGCCUUUGAAUCUCUCCCAGGCUUCACUGAAUCCUUCCAAGCCUUUUUGUUGAAAGCUGUAGAUCUCAUUUCUCAGCUU
rnacentral:snoRNA from 1 species